rnacentral:rRNA from 1 species
GUGUCAGCAGCCGCGGUAAUACGUAGGGUGCAAGCGUUAAUCGGAAUUACUGGGCGUAAAGGGUGUGCAGGCGGCCUUGUAAGUCAGAUGUGAAAGCCCCGGGCUUAACCUGGGAAUUGCGUUUGAAACUACAAGGCUAGAGUGCAGCAGAGGGGAGUGGAAUUCCAUGUGUAGCAGUGAAAUGCGUAGAGAUAUGGAAGAACACCGAUGGCGAAGGCAGCUCCCUGGGCUGACACUGACGCUCAUACACGAAAGCGUGGGGAGCAAACAGGAUUAGAUACCCUGGUAGUCCACGCCCUAAACGAUGUCAACUAGUUGUCAGAUCUAAUUAGGGGUUUGGUAACGUAGCUAACGCGUGAAGUUGACCGCCUGGGGACUACGGCCGCAAGGCUAAA